rnacentral:piRNA from 1 species
UGCUCCGGUCAGCCCAGGACCCACCACAG